rnacentral:rRNA from 1 species
ACGCUGGCGGCAUGCCUUACACAUGCAAGUCGAACGGCAGCACGGGAGCAAUCCUGGUGGCGAGUGGCGAACGGGUGAGUAAUAUAUCGGAACGUGCCCAGUCGUGGGGGAUAACGUAGCGAAAGCUACGCUAAUACCGCAUACGAUCUAUGGAUGAAAGCGGGGGAUCGCAAGACCUCGCGCGAUUGGAGCGGCCGAUAUCAGAUUAGGUAGUUGGUGAGGUAAAGGCUCACCAAGCCGACGAUCUGUAGCUGGUCUGAGAGGACGACCAGCCACACUGGGACUGAGACACGGCCCCAGACUCCUACGGGAGGCAGCAGUGAGGAAUUUUGGACAAUGGGCGCAAGCCUGAUCCAGCAAUGCCGCGUGCAGGAUGAAGGCCUUCGGUUGUAAACUGCUUUGUACGGAACGAAACGGUGAGCUCUAAUACAGUUUGCUAAUGACGGUACCGUAAGAAUAAGCACCGGCUAACUACGUG